AUUGAACGCUGGCGGCAUGCCUUACACAUGCAAGUCGAACGGUAACAGGUCUUCGGAUGCUGACGAGUGGCGAACGGGUGAGUAAUACAUCGGAACGUGCCCGAUCGUGGGGGAUAACGAGGCGAAAGCUUUGCUAAUACCGCAUACGAUCUACGGAUGAAAGCGGGGGAUCUUCGGACCUCGCGCGGACGGAGCGGCCGAUGGCAGAUUAGGUAGUUGGUGGGAUAAAAGCUUACCAAGCCGACGAUCUGUAGCUGGUCUGAGAGGAUGAUCAGCCACACUGGGACUGAGACACGGCCCAGACUCCUACGGGAGGCAGCAGUGGGGAAUUUUGGACAAUGGGCGAAAGCCUGAUCCAGCCAUGCCGCGUGCAGGAUGAAGGCCUUUGGGUUGUAAACUGCUUUUGUACGGAACGAAAAGCCUCUUUCUAAUAAAGAGGGGUCAUGACGGUACCGGAAGAAUAAGCACCGGCUAACUACGUA
rnacentral:rRNA from 1 species